rnacentral:rRNA from 1 species
GACGAACGCUGGCGGCGUGCUUAACACAUGCAAGUCGAACGGAAAGGCCUCUUUCGGGGGGUACUCGAGUGGCGAACGGGUGAGUAACACGUGAGUAACCUGCCCUCGACUUUGGGAUAACUUCAGGAAACUGGGGCUAAUACCGGAUAGGAGCUCCUGCUGCAUGGUGGGGGUUGGAAAGUUUCGGCGGUUGGGGAUGGACUCGCGGCUUAUCAGCUUGUUGGUGGGGUAGUGGCUUACCAAGGCUUUGACGGGUAGCCGGCCUGAGAGGGUGACCGGCCACAUUGGGACUGAGAUACGGCCCAGACUCCUACGGGAGGCAGCAGUGGGGAAUAUUGCACAAUGGGCGGAAGCCUGAUGCAGCAACGCCGCGUGCGGGAUGACGGCCUUCGGGUUGUAAACCGCUUUCGCCUGUGACGAAGCGUGAGUGACGGUAAUGGGUAAAGAAGCACCGGCUAACUACGUG